rnacentral:rRNA from 1 species
CAGCAGCCACGGUAAUACGAAGGGUGCAAGCGUUAAUCGGAAUUACUGGGCGUAAAGCGCACGCAGGCGGUCUGUCAAGUCAGAUGUGAAAUCCCCGGGCUUAACCUGGGAACUGCAUUUGAAACUGGCAGGCUAGAGUCUUGUAGAGGGGGGUAGAAUUCCAGGUGUAGCGGUGAAAUGCGUAGAGAUCUGGAGGAAUACCGGUGGCGAAGGCGGCCCCCUGGACAAAGACUGACGCUCAGGUGCGAAAGCGUGGGGAGCAAACAGGAUUAGAUACCCCAGUAGUCCCUGUCUCUUAUAC